rnacentral:rRNA from 1 species
GACGAACGCUGGCGGCGUGCCUAAUACAUGCAAGUUGAGCGCUGAAGGUUGGUACUUGUACCAACUGGAUGAGCAGCGAACGGGUGAGUAACGCGUGGGGAAUCUGCCUUUGAGCGGGGGACAACAUUUGGAAACGAAUGCUAAUACCGCAUAAAAACUUUAAACACAAGUUUUAAGUUUGAAAGAUGCAUUUUCAUCACUCAAAGAUGAUCCCGCGUUGUAUUAGCUAGUUGGUGAGGUAAAGGCUCACCAAGGCGAUGAUACAUAGCCGACCUGAGAGGGUGAUCGGCCACAUUGGGACUGAGACACGGCCCAAACUCCUACGGGAGGCAGCAGUAGGGAAUCUUCGGCAAUGGACGAAAGUCUGACCGAGCAACGCCGCGUGAGUGAAGAAGGUUUUCGGAUCGUAAAACUCUGUUGGUAGAGAAGAACGUUGGUGAGAGUGGAAAGCUCAUCAAGUGACGGUAACUACCCAGAAAGGGACGGCUAACUACGUG